CUUUUAGAUAUUAUAUUGAGAAGCAUCUGUGUUAGCAACUGGAAGAAACUUUUGAAAAUAUUCUGUAUUUUUCUUAACCAUGUGUUUAACAAUAGUCACAUGGGAACCACCACCCCAUAAGGUCUGGUAAGAAAUCAGUGUUAUGACCUGCUGUCUCUCUUAUGAUUUCUGUUUUUAUUAUGACUGACAGUUUGUUAUUACUUUAUUGCAGUUCCUGCAUUAUGUUUCUGUUUUUCUAAAUACUCCAUCAAAUCUACAUGAAUGGCAUUGGGUUCCCAUGGCAUUGUCUGGACUGCUUUUAGGUUGCCCACUGUUUUGAUGAUGUUUGUGGCUUCAUGGAAGCGUUUUGAUUUUAAGCAGACAAUCCAUGUUUGAACACCUGUUGGAAAAGAGGCACUUUGCCACAUUCACAAAAUGCUAAGAAAUUGCCAAUAAGCGGAUUACAUGUUUAUAAACACAAUAAAGAAGGUUAAGUAACAUCUUACAUUUUAAUUAUGAGACAGUCUCAGAAUUCAAAUGUAACAUGAAUUGUUUUCUCAGUUCUGUUUUAACUGAUAUGGUCCCUUCUCUACUUGCUUUUGAGCAUGUAAAAAUACAGCAACCAGACUGACUUUAUCUUCUUUACGUGCAGAGCUUCAAGUUCAGGCCUGAAAGCAUGUAAAUCCUGUUUAAACUUAUGUAUGCUCUGACCUUAUCCUUUCUGAGUUGUCUACCUCUUUUCCAUCAGUAAUCUCAAGAAACUUUUACUUCCCCCUCACUACAUUUGAAGAUGAAGUAACAUGGCAAAGUUCACAAGGAAGAUACGGAAAAUGAAAAAUGAAUUCCUUUAUUGCAAGAAAUCAUGGUUAUUUAUUGAUUCAGAAAGAAAACGGACUGAUAUUCUCUUGGGUGUUCUGAACAACAUGUUGCCAGAAAAAAGGAAUGUGCAAUGGAGAUUGUUAAUAUGGACAUAUCCUAAGACACAGUGUACCUUUUGA
rnacentral:lncRNA from 1 species